GGCAAGGUGGCCGAGUGGUUAAGGCGCUGGUUUUAGGUUAUUACCACCAGUGGGAAACCGCGCGAGUUCGAAUCUCGUCCUUGUCA
rfam:Chaetomium globosum CBS 148.51 scaffold_3 genomic scaffold, whole genome shotgun sequence.